rnacentral:rRNA from 1 species
AUGCUGGCUCCUCCCGCCCCCAUCCGUGCCCUCGCCUUCCACCGCCGUCUCCCGCUCCUCCGCCCCCACCAUCCCACCCUCCUUCCCCACUCGCCAGGCCCGCCUCCGCCUCCGCCCCCGCCCCCGCGGCCCUGCCCCGCCCCCGCGCGCUUUCUCAUGGCCUUCUCCACCGAGACAGCCGGCGAAGAGGCGGAGGAGGAGGCUCUCCCCGGGCCCGCCGGCGCUGGAGGCGGCGGCGAGGUGAGUUCGGAGGAGUGGCAGCGGUGGGGCACCUCCUCGCCCCUCCCGACCGUGGUGGCCUCCGUCGUCCGCCAGCUGCUCGAGAUGGAGUCCUCGGCCGGCGAGAAGAUGCGCUUUGGCGGCGUCGGCUCCAAGCUGAAGGGCGAUUUCAAGGACGUGGAGGACAGGAAGCACAGGGCUGUCUACCAGACGCUCGCCGACUCCGACCAGAAGCUGCAGUACUACUCCGCCCGGCAGAUUGGGUGCCGUCUGCUCGGGAGCAGGGGGUACUUGUGCCAGAAGUGCUGGCUACCAAUGGAGGAUUGUAUGUGCUCAAAACUUGCCCCUUGCAAUUUGUGGAGGGGAAUAAGAUUCUGGCUAUACAUGCAUCCAAAGGACUUCUUGCGACAAAACAACACUGGAAAGUUACUCUGGCAAGUAUUUGGCAUCCAAGCUGCGUCGUUGUGCCUCUUUGGCAUCCAAGAGCAUGAAGAUAUUAUGUGGGAUGCAUUCCAGCGUUCAGGAAAGGAGAAGGUCUCAUUUCUGUACCCAAACAAGAGUGCAACCCCCAAGUCUGUCAAUGAUCUUAAAUUUGAUGAUUUUGCCAUGAGUUCUGGCCUUCAGGAGGGAGUGCAACUUGAACCUCUUAACUUGGUUUUGCUUGAUGGUACCUGGAGUAAUUCUGCUGCAUUAUACAGAAGGCUGAAGGAGAGAUGGACUGCAAUAUGGGGGGAGGAAGAUAUACCUUGUAUCUCACUGUCUAUGCUGAGCGCCUCUGUGAUGCAUAAACUGCGACCUCAGCCAGCAUGGGAUCGUACCUGCACCGCGGCAGCCGCAGCUGGUCUUCUCUCAGAACUGCACAUGCGGCCUGAGCUCAGUGCGUUUAAACUAGAAGAGCAAGCUGAGGCAGUAGAGUGCUCGCUGGAUAUCUUGCUAGACGCUCUCAUCGCGAGACGGGUUCGCCUGGGCCGAUCAAUUACUCGAAAGCAGAGACAUAGAAGAGACUGCAUAUAG